UAAUAUUUGGUUAAAUAUUAUGUAGAUAAAAGGUCAUCCCAGUGUACUAAAACUCCGGCUAUGCACAACAUUAGGGGAAGAGCCCUACCACAGGUGUGCAUUGUACUCACCCUUACCUUUCCAACGCUUGAACUCGUGACCUCAUGGUCACAUGGCAGUAAUAAAAAUGCACAAGGGUGGCGCCAUAUGAGCAGGUGAUUGCUUUGCAAAUAUAAUAGGCUGGAUGCUAACCAGAUAACCAGAUUUUGUGCUCCUUGACUCAUUCGACAAGAUAUCUUCUACCUCCUACCGCUCACCAGCAAUAGUAUCAGGUAACUCUGUCCACCAAGGCAAGGACAAAUCAGAAGAAAUCACCUAAUUUUUUUGUCUCUGUGGGAUCAAAUCUGCUAACCAACUUCCAUCAUGUUGGAAGCUGAAAGGAAACAGCAAAGAAACCAUAACUCACCCAGCUAUGAAGACCUUCAACCUUGGUCAUUUUACCAUGUAUAGAAAUCCAAGGAUUUGUGUCAUGUAACUUUGAUUAAACCUUGUGUAGGAGAAUUUCUUCCCAUUAUCAAAGAGAAUAUUAAAGCAAUAAGGAUUUGUAUA